rnacentral:rRNA from 1 species
CCCUUUCCGGUUGAUCCCGCCGGAGGCCACUGCUAUCGGAGUUCGAUUAAGCCAUGCGAGUCGAGAGGUGCAAGACCUCGGCAUACUGCUCAGUAACACGUGGACAACCUACCCUCGGGAGGGGGAUAACCCCGGGAAACUGGGGAUAAUACCCCAUAGACUAUGGAUGCUGGAAUGCUUCGUAGUUGAAAAGGCCCGCCGCCCGAGGAUGGGUCUGCGGCCGAUUAGGUUGUUGUUGGGGUAACGGCCCAACAAGCCUGUAAUCGGUACGGGUUGUGGGAGCAAGAGCCCGGAGAUGGAUUCUGAGACACGAAUCCAGGCCCUACGGGGCGCAGCAGGCGCGAAAACUUUACAAUGCGAGAAAUCGUGAUAAGGGAACUCCGAGUGCCCGUAAAACCGGGCUGUUAAUCUGUUUAAAUAACAGGUUGAGAAAGGGCCGGGCAAGACCGGUGCCAGCCGCCGCGGUAAUACCGGCGGCUCGAGUGGUGGCCACUAUUACUGGGCUUAAAGCGUCCGUAGCUGGUCUGUUAAGUCUCUGGGGAAAUCUUCCGGCUUAACCGGAAGGCGUCUCAGGGAUACUGGCAGACUAGGGACCGGGAGAGGUGAGAGGUACUCCAGGGGUAGGAGUGAAAUCCUGUAAUCCUUGGGGGACCACCUGUGGCGAAGGCGUCUCACCAGAACGGCUCCGACAGUGAGGGACGAAAGCUGGGGGAGCAAACCGGAUUAGAUACCCGGGUAGUCCCAGCUGUAAACGAUGCGCGUUAGGUGUAUCGGUGACCACGAGUCACCGAGGUGCCGAAGAGAAAUCGUGAAACGCGCCGCCUGGGAAGUACGGUCGCAAGGCUGAAACUUAAAGGAAUUGGCGGGGGAGCACCACAACGGGUGGAGCCUGCGGUUUAAUCGGACUCAACGCCGGGAAACUCACCGGACAAGACAGCUGAAUGAUUGCCGGGCUGAAGACUCUGCAUGACUAGCUGAGAGGAGGUGCAUGGCCGUCGUCAGUUCGUACUGUGAAGCAUCCUGUUAAGUCAGGCAACGAGCGAGACCCAA